CUAUAAUUGUUAAUUUGAUUAUAUCACAUAUGAUUCAAAAAGACGUACGCAUGAGUACAGUUUUAGCUAAGGAAAUUGGAGAGGAAAUUGUAAAAAUAUUUCCACAAGAAUUUCUGGGAUACUAUUUUAUGACAGUCCCAGGCAAAAAACCAUAACGAAAAAUUUAUGACAAGCAUAGAGUUCUAAGAAAUGGUGGCAUAAUACCAAGACGAAACCGUUAUACCUUUGAAAAUGUGUGGAAAGCAUUGAAAAUAUUGGUGAAUUUAUGGAAGAGCCAAUAAAUAUUGACCAACAUUUGGAAAUUAUAUUUUCCAAUAAUUGUACAUGGGGCUACCUUGAAUACCAUUGGAAUGAAACGAAAAAAAUUCAAAUAAAGGAAAUUUUGAAGUCGAACUCAGCGCAAGAAAUAUUAAACAGAUGGAACCAAUAUAAGAAUUCUAUGUGGUAUAUAUUGAACUGAUUUUAAAGAACUUCAUCCACAGGCUAAUGAUCUUUCCAUUUUCAACAUAGAAGAAUUUGAAGGAAAAACACUGGAUAUUUUCGAAGAAAAACUAAAAGAUCCUACUUGUCUGAAUGUUGUAAAGCAGAUUAAAGAAGCCAAGUAUCUAAACGAAAGUAAUAUGGACGUUACUUUUAUUGCCAGCACCAAAAGUAACUGAACUUGAUAACAAAGUAAAGAGUUAUGUACGACGUACCAUAAAGGAUUCGCAGUCCACUUUGAUAUCAUAUGUUUCAACUCCUGGAGAAAUGGAGGAGA